CAAUACUGAGUGGCAAACGGGUGAGUAUAAUGUAGGAAUCUGCCUUUUGGUUUGGAAUAACACGGGGAAACUUGUGCUAAUACCGAAUAAGCCUUUACAGGGAAAGUUUUAACGCCGAAAGAUGAGCCUGCACUUGAUUAGCUAGUUGGUAAGGUAAAAGCUUACCAAGGCAACGAUCAAUAGCUGUUCUUAGAGGAAGACCAGCCACAUUGGGACUGAGACACGGCCCAGACUCCUACGGGAGGCAGCAGUGGGGAAUCUUGCACAAUGGGGGAAACCCUGAUGCAGCGAUGCCGCGUGAGUGAAGAAGGCCUUUGGGUUGUAAAACUCUUUCGUCGGGGAAGAAAAUGACUGUACCCGAAUAAGAAGGUCCGGCUAACUUCGUGCCAGCAGCCGCGGUAAU
rnacentral:rRNA from 1 species